GACGAACGCUGGCGGCGUGCUUAACACAUGCAAGUCGAACGGAAAGGCCCUGCUUUUGUGGGGUGCUCGAGUGGCGAACGGGUGAGUAACACGUGAGUAACCUGCCCUUGACUUUGGGAUAACUUCAGGAAACUGGGGCUAAUACCGGAUAGGAGCUCCUGCUGCAUGGUGGGGGUUGGAAAGUUUCGGCGGUUGGGGAUGGACUCGCGGCUUAUCAGCUUGUUGGUGGGGUAGUGGCUUACCAAGGCUUUGACGGGUAGCCGGCCUGUGAGGGUGACCGGCCACAUUGGGACUGAGAUACGGCCCAGACUCCUACGGGAGGCAGCAGUGGGGAAUAUGGCACAAUGGGCGGAAGCCUGAUGCAGCAACGCCGCGUGCGGGAUGACGGCCUUCGGGUUGUAAACCGCUUUCGCCUGUGACGAAGCGUGAGUGACGGUAAUGGGUAAAGAAGCACCGGCUAACUACGUG
rnacentral:rRNA from 1 species